rfam:Wuhan insect virus 20 strain WHCCII13322 hypothetical protein 1, hypothetical protein 2, and hypothetical protein 3 genes, complete cds.
AUACUGGAACUCACACUCGAAUCCUGGGAAACAGGCAGUCUUCGGACGUAAGCUCGGGCGGACUUGUCACCCGCCGCCGCAUUGUGUGUGAUGGUA